CUGAGGCUCUGGAUCCUGGGUGACCUCAUGGUGGGGGGAAUCUGCUAAGUUCCCACCAAAUGAUGACUCUUUCACGAGCUUUCAAAACUCAAUCCACACUUUGUUGUUGGAAUGAUUCCCAAGAUGAAGAACAAAAGAGUCAAAGCAUCCUUCUGCCUGCAUCCAAAUGUAAUCCAACAUCCCUGCGAAAUGGAAUACUGCAUACAGCUGAUCAAAACCUCCAUGAAAGUAAAAUUUCAGAGCUGCUAUUUGGCCCCAGAAGCUCAUGUUGCCCAUUCUGAUAUUCAAAUGGAAAUACCUGCAAGUGGUUACCUCUGAGUCUUGCAAGUAUAUAUGGUACCCACUGUACAUAUGUAUAAAUGGGUGAUUUUA